rfam:Buttiauxella agrestis ATCC 33320 GBAG.assembly.052, whole genome shotgun sequence.
AGUGGCUCAUUCACCCUCCUAUGUCAGCCCCCGCAAGGGUUGUGCUACAUAAAACUUAGAAUGACGCACUCCAGGUGCCUGCCGUCCACCUUUUGAUUAUUGUCAGUCUUGUACUGCUUUAUCAUGCUCCGGGCGAAACGUUGAGUAAGGCACCGCCUG